UGGGGUAUCGCCAAAAGGUAAGGCAUAGGGUUUUGAUCCCUACAUCCAAGGUUCGAAUCCUUGUACCCCAG
rnacentral:tRNA from 1 species